CUGCUGUAUAGUCCAAAACCACUGCACGAUGUCUCUGUGCACCAAAUACUGGCAAGAUGGCUCCGUGUUGAAAAGUCCAAACAGUGUCUGUGAGUUAAAAUGGCCGCCAUCCAUUGUUCUCACCAUGUGCUUCUGAUACAGGAAAUGGUGGCCACCCAGUAACUCCACAGUAUGUCCCCAGAUGGUUCUUGAAGGGCCAGCAGCAGCACAACACAAAUCCAUUAUGCCCA